UGCGAUGAUAUCUGGAAUGGGGUCUCCGAGCCACACAAGUCAAUUGUUAAGAAAGAUUUUUCAUUUUUGUUGUCACCUUCUCAACCUCUAGCAUAAUUGUGAUGGUCCCAGAGAUGGGCUUCAUGCGCAGUUGUUUAUCCAGAAUACAAAUACCCAUCUUGCCACGAGUGGAAUUCUGUCAGAUGCAAUGCACCGAAGUGCCUAAUCAACUUACCCUUUUUGAACGCAAUAUGAUGACAGUCCUCCCACACUCGAAGAGCCACAUAGUCCUUGCUUAUGGAAGCUUCUUCUAGCUUCAUCUUUUCACCCGGCAUGCGCAUUUAUUCAAAUGGACCUUUUUAGCCAGGAAUUAUGGACGCCCUACCUGCUAGCGCAGUGGCAAUCAAGAUAGGUACAGUGGGGCUGAAUACAGCUGAUCCGGUACCAAGUUCAAUGUACAGGAACUCUUUGAAUUGGGGCCUGAUUCAAUUGACUCUUAAGCCAUUUGAUUUGUUGUGAUACUGCAUAUCACUGGACUAUAUAUAUGUAGGGAUAUUCUAGUUCAGGCUUGUUGAAUUUGGUUAAUUAAUUUGAGGAGAUGGAAAUUUUGCUGCUGAUAUUCCAUGUUUGGAGUGUUGUAGCUGCUAUCUGUUUACGCCACAAUUCUGCAGAAGGGGUGAAGCCCUGCAGACUAUGAAGUGUGAAUGAUCCAUUGGGUGUGCCAUGUUAUUUCCUGAGAUCGGAUCAUCAGGUACAUGUUCAGCCCAGUGUGCAAUGUGCAUAUUAAAUGAAUCCCUAUGAUACAGGGACCCGAUUCUUCCUUCUUCAAGUCUACCUUCUCUUCUCAUAGAUAAUGUUGCAAGUAGUAGGUGCAACAUUUAAUGAUCCACUUGCUUUUAUAAUGAUCAUUCUGUCCGUAUGCUGGUUGUAUUCUCUAGCUGAUUUAGAACUUACCUUCUGUGUAAUAUUCGCCUACAAUGAGCUAAAUGUCUAAAGGGGAAUGAUGUGACA